rnacentral:tRNA from 1 species
GGCAGUGUAACAUAGUGGUUAAGGGCCAGGACUUGUAAUCGAAAGGUUGCUGGUUCAAUUCCCUCCUGGGGCA